GGCAGUGAGUGUGAGACGUGCAGCUCCUUUCAUCCCAGCCUGGCACAAUCGCUCUGCAUCUGAUCCAGCCUCCUCGGAGAGGGGAGUCAUUCACUUUCAAAUCACGGAACUCCAUAAUGAAGGAGGUUAUCAUCCAGGAGUUAUACCCUGCUUGUUUUUAAACCUGCAAAGGGAAGAUACUGUGAACAAAGCAGUGAAGGCUCUCAGGUUCCUCCCCAGGUGCCAGGAGAGGAGUGGGGCUGUUUUGGAUCACCUGAGCACAGGGCUGGAUGCAACUGGGUUCUCAACAUCUGAAAGGGAUGGCGAAAUAAAUUACACAGAUCCCUGUGCAAGUCUGAUCAAGCUCUCAAAGAACAGCCUUGCCAAAGAACUGCCUGCCUACCUAUGUCCUCAUUCCACGAUCCAGGUGACUUUUGUUCCACGGAGCCACACCUCAGCCUCUCACCUCACCGGGAGAGAAAACCUCCCAGACGUCUCAGUUUUGCAACCGAGCAGUUGUGCCCUUGUCGUGCUUCCAGCAUUUCCUCACAGCCCGCACUCAGAAACGAGGGCUGCGAGUCCCAGCCUCAGCAGGAACGUCUCCCCCAUCAUUAAAUAAUUGAGCUGCUCCUGCAAUCUGGAGCCCGGCAGCCCGAGACGCUACCUCAUAGCUGCUGGGUCGCUGGCACAGGUUUGACAAAACCCUUCAGGGAUGGCUACUGCAGGGAGGCUCUUUCCUGGCAGGUCCCAGCUUGGUUUGUUGGGUCAGUGGGGAGACAGACAGGGCUCGCCACGCCAGGCCCGUGCCAAGCCACGCUGGCCAAAAUUGGCUGAGCCCUGGCUGUACCUUCCAGAAGUACUGAAGAAGGGGUUUUGGUCCUUGGUUGAGGAAAGGAAGGAAAUUUAGGUAUCAGAGUCCUUGGGAGAUGCUGUUUUGCUGCCCUCUAGGCAAAGAUUAAAGCUUGAAAUGUGGAAACUACAGAAAAUGCUGUCCUGAGCACACCAAAGCAAAGCAAAGGGUUGGGAAGGUGGAAAGGCUUUUCGUGGGACUUCAUUAAGGUGUGAGUAUGAAAUCUGUAAAAAGAUCUCUGGCCUCAGAUAAGGGAGAUCCAGUGGUGUACAACAAAGAAUUAUCAGUAAAGGCAUCAUAAUUACAAAGUUCUUUUAUAUUAAAAUGAUGUCAUGUAAUAGGUUGAAGAACAAGAAAUAAAUAAGCUGUGCAGAUCUCCUUUAUCUAAAUA
ensembl:lncRNA